AGCGAACGCUGGCGGCAGGCCUAACACAUGCAAGUCGAACGGAUCCUUCGGGAUUAGUGGCGGACGGGUGAGUAACACGUGGGAACGUGCCCUUUGGUUCGGAACAACUCCGGGAAACUUGAGCUAAUACCGGAUGUGCCCUUCGGGGGAAAGAUUUAUCGCCAUUGGAGCGGCCCGCGUCUGAUUAGCUAGUUGGUGAGGUAAAGGCUCACCAAGGCGACGAUCAGUAGCUGGUCUGAGAGGAUGAUCAGCCACAUUGGGACUGAGACACGGCCCAAACUCCUACGGGAGGCAGCAGUGGGGAAUCUUGCGCAAUGGGCGAAAGCCUGACGCAGCCAUGCCGCGUGAAUGAUGAAGGUCUUAGGAUUGUAAAAUUCUUUCGCCGGGGACGAUAAUGACGGUACCCGGAGAAGAAGCCCCGGCUAACUUCGUGCCAGCCGCCGCAGUAACAC
rnacentral:rRNA from 1 species